AGCCUACGGGACGCAGCAGUGAGGAAUAUUGGUCAAUGGGCGCGAGCCUGAACCAGCCAAGUCGCGUGAGGGAUGACGGUCCUAUGGAUUGUAAACCUCUUUUGCCGGGGAGCAGGCGUGCGUUCGUGAACGCGCGUCGAGAGUACCCGGAGAAAAAGCAUCGGCUAACUUCGUGCCAGCAGCCGCGGUAAUACGGAGGAUGCGAGCGUUAUCCGGAUUUAUUGGGUUUAAAGGGUGCGUAGGCGGGAUGCCAAGUCAGCGGUAAAAAUGCGGUGCUCAACGCCGUCGAGCCGUUGAAACUGGCC
rnacentral:rRNA from 1 species